rnacentral:rRNA from 1 species
GAUGAACGCUGGCGGCGUGCCUAAUACAUGCAAGUCGAGCGAACUGAUUAGAAGCUUGCUUCUAUGACGUUAGCGGCGGACGGGUGAGUAACACGUGGGCAACCUGCCUGUAAGACUGGGAUAACUUCGGGAAACCGAAGCUAAUACCGGAUAGGAUCUUCUCCUUCAUGGGAGAUGAUUGACAAAUGGUUUUGGCUAUCACUUACAGAUGGGCCCGCGGUGCAUUAGCUAGUUGGUUAGGUAACGGCUCACCAAGGCAACGAUGGAUAGCCGACCGGGGAGGGGGUGCGGCCACACUGGGACUGAGACACGGCCCAGACUCCUACGGGAGGCAGCAGUAGGGAAUCUUCCGCAAUGGACGAAAGUCUGACGGAGCAACGCCGCGUGAGUGAUGAAGGCUUUCGGGUCGUAAAACUCUGUUGUUAGGGAAGGACAAGUACGAGAGUAACUGCUCGUACCUUGACGGUACCUAACCAGAAAGCCACGGCUAACUACGUGCCAGCCGCCGCAGUAAGAC